AUUGAACGCUGGCGGCAGGCUUAACACAUGCAAGUCGAACGAGCGGCGGACGGGUGAGUAAUGCCUGGGAAUCUAGCUGAUGGAGGGGGAUAACUACGGGAAACUGUAGCUAAUACCGCGUACCAUAGGAUGAGCCCCAGUGGGAUUAGCUAGUUGGUGGGGUAAAGGCGCACCAAGGCGACGAGCCCUAGCUGGUCUGAGAGGAUGACCAGCCACCCUGGAACUGAGACACGGCCCAGACUCCUACGGGAGGCAGCAGUGGGGAAUAUUGCGCAAUGGGCGCAACCCUUACGCAGCCAUGCCGCGUGAAUGAAGAAGGCCUUCGGGUUGUAAAGUACUUUCAGCAGGGAGGCGUUACCUACAGAAGAAGCACCGGCUAACUCCGUGCCAGCAGCCGCGGUAAUAC
rnacentral:rRNA from 1 species